UACGAAGGGGGCUAGCGUUGCUCGGAAUCACUGGGCGUAAAGCGCACGUAGGCGGACCUGCAAGUCGGGGGUGAAAGCCCGAGGCUCAACCUCGGAACUGCCUUCGAUACUGCGGGUCUCGAGUCCGGGAGAGGUGAGUGGAAUUCCUAGUGUAGAGGUGAAAUUCGUAGAUAUUAGGAAGAACACCAGGUGGCGAAGGCGGCUCCAGCUGGCCCGGUACGACG
rnacentral:rRNA from 1 species